rnacentral:rRNA from 1 species
AGAGUUUGAUCCUGGCUCAGAUUGAACGCUGGCGGAAUGCUUUACACAUGCAAGUCGAACGGCAGCACGGGAGCUUGCUCCUGGUGGCGAGUGGCGAACGGGUGAGUAAUGCGUCGGAACGUACCGAGUAAUGGGGGAUAACGCACCGAAAGGUGUGCUAAUACCGCAUACGCCCUGAGGGGGAAAGCGGGGGAUCGUAAGACCUCGCGUUAUUCGAGCGGCCGACGUCUGAUUAGCUAGUUGGUGGGGUAAAGGCCUACCAAGGCGACGAUCAGUAGCGGGUCUGAGAGGAUGAUCCGCCACACUGGGACUGAGACACGGCCCAGACUCCUACGGGAGGCAGCAGUGGGGAAUUUUGGACAAUGGGGGCAACCCUGAUCCAGCCAUUCCGCGUGAGUGAAGAAGGCCUUCGGGUUGUAAAGCUCUUUCAGCAGGAACGAAACGGUACGCUCUAACAUAGCGUGCUGAUGACGGUACCUGCAGAAGAAGCACCGGCUAACUACGUGCCAGCAGCCGCGGUAAUACGUAGGGUGCGAGCGUUAAUCGGAAUUACUGGGCGUAAAGCGUGCGCAGGCGGAUUGUUAAGCAAGACGUGAAAUCCCCGGGCUUAACCUGGGAAUGGCGUUUUGAACUGGCAGUCUAGAGUGUGUCAGAGGGGGGUGGAAUUCCACGUGUAGCAGUGAAAUGCGUAGAGAUGUGGAGGAACACCGAUGGCGAAGGCAGCCCCCUGGGAUAACACUGACGCUCAUGUACGAAAGCGUGGGUAGCAAACAGGAUUAGAUACCCUGGUAGUCCACGCC